AGCAGCCGCGGUAAUUCCAGCUCCAAUAGCGUAUAUUAAAGUUGUUGCAGUUAAAAAGCUCGUAGUUGAAUUUCGGGAUCAAUAUGUUGGUCGUGCCUCGGUACGUACUGGCUUAUUGGUUUCUCCUUUCUGAAGAACCAUGAUGUCAUUUAUUUGGUGUCGUGGGGAAUCAGGACUGUUACUUUGAAAAAAUUAGAGUGUUUAAAGCAGGCUCACGCUUGAAUACAUUAGCAUGGAAUAAUGAAAUAGGACGUUUGAUUCUAUUUUGUUGGUUUCUAGGAUCGACGUAAUGAUUAAUAGGGAUAGUUGGGGGCAUUAGUAUUCAAUUGUCAGAGGUGAAAUUCUUGGAUUUAUUGAAGACUAACUACUGCGAAAGCAUUUGCCAAGGAUGUUUUCAUUAAUCAAGAACGAAAGUUAGGGGAAUCGAAGACGAUCAGAUACCGUCGUAGUCUUAACCAUAAACUAUGCCGACUAGGGAUCGGAUGAUGUAAUUUUUAAUGUA
rnacentral:rRNA from 1 species